GAGAGCUCAGGCGGUUCCUAGGGAUGG
rnacentral:sRNA from 1 species